AGUGGGAUCUCAUUUUAUAAAGGAUUCUUUUCAACCGUGUUUUCAUCUAAUCUAUAUCUAUAUCUAUACUUCUAUACUUAUACAUUAUUUUCCCUAAAGUCUUGCCACGUGGCGGUCCUUCCUUUAUCAUUACCUUCUCCUCUCUUCUCUAAUUACAAUUGUUGCAGCCGCAUAAAACUUUUGAUCUUCCAAUCAAUUAAUGAACAAUCUUAAACCCACACUCUUCAUCUCCCCACCAAGGAGUUACUAACACAUGAUUAACUUUAAUAAUUACGAUCUUAAAUCCACACUCUUCAUCUCCCCAUCAAGAAGUUACUAAUGCAUCAUUAACUUUAAUAAUUAUAAUAAUCCACACAAUUAGCACCACUAAAACUCCAUCAUCAUCAUCUCCUCAUUCUCUGAAACCAAAUAUCACACUCCAACAAUGUCCUAUGUUACAAACCAACUCUUCUUUCUAUUAUUCUUAUUAUUAUUCUCGAACACGAGUACGAACCGGUCAACGCCAUUCGGGUCGAG
rnacentral:lncRNA from 1 species